GUCUACGGCCAUACCACCCUGAACGCGCCCGAUCUCGUCUGAUCUCGGAAGCUUAAGCAGGGUCGGGCCUGGUUAGUACUUGUUGGGAGACCGCCUGGGAAUACCGGGUGCUGUAGGCU
rnacentral:rRNA from 1 species